rnacentral:rRNA from 1 species
UACGUAGGGUGCGAGCGUUAAUCGGAAUUACUGGGCGUAAAGCGUGCGCAGGCGGUUCGUUGUGUCCGGUGUGAAAGCCCCGAGCUUAACUUGGGAAUGGCAUUGGAAACUGGCGAGCUGGAGUGUGGCAGAGGGGGGUGGAAUUCCACGUGUAGCAGUGAAAUGCGUAGAUAUCGUGAGGAACACCAGAGGCGAAGGCGGCUACCUGGACAAUUGCUGACGCUCAGGCACGAAAGCGUGGGGAGCAAAAGGG